AGUUUGAUCAUGGCUCAGAAUGAACGCUGGCGGCGUGCCUAACACAGGCAAGUCGAGCGAGAAAGUCUCUUCGGAGAUAAGUACAGCGGCGGACGGGUGAGUAACGCGUGAGAAUUUACCCUUUAGUGAAGAAUACCUCUGAGAAAUCAGGGUUAAUACUGCAUACGUCCCUACGGGGAGAAAGGUGGCCUCUUUGCUGCCGCUAAAGGAUAAGCUUGCGUACUAUUAGCUAGUUGGUGAGGUAAAGGCUCACCAAGGCGAUGAUGGUUAGCCGGCCUGAGAGGGUGUACGGCCACACUGGAACUUAGACACGGUCCAGACUCCUACGGGAGGCAGCAGUGAGGAAUAUUGCGCAAUGGGCGAAAGCCUGACGCAGCGACGCCGCGUGGAGGAUGAAGGUCUUCGGAUUGUAAACUCCUGUUAAGUGGGAAGAAAGACCUAUUUCUAAUACAGAUAGGGGAUGACGGUACCAUUAGAGAAAGCACCGGCUAACUUCGUG
rnacentral:rRNA from 1 species